rnacentral:pre_miRNA from 10 species
GUGACGAUGACUUUUAGGAGCGGAGCAGUGGGUGGGUGUAUGUCUGGUCACGUGUUCUAUAUCGUAUCCGUGACUAGAUAUAUACUCAUCUACAGUUCCGUUCUAUUUAUUACAAAGAUCA